CAGAGGGGGACUGAGACACGGCCCCCACUCCUACGGGAGGCAGCAGCAGGGAAUCUUGCACAAUGGGCGAAAGCCUGAUGCAGCGACGCCGCGUGAGGGAUGAAGGUUCUAGGAUCGUAAACCUCUUUUCUUAGGGAAUAGUUUGGAAGGUACCUAAGGAAUAAGUCACGGCUAACUACGUGCCAGCAGCCGCGGUAAUACGUAGGUGGCAAAUGUUGUCCGGAAUCAUUGGGCGUAAAGGGUCCGUAGGUGGCUUGAAAAGUCUUAUGUGAAAUCUCUUGGCUCAACCAAGAAACGCCAUAAGAAACUUUCAUGCUAGAGAUCAUCAGAGGGAGGUAGAAUUCCAGGUGUAGUGGUGAAAUGCGUAGAUAUCUGGAGGAAUACCAAUGGCGAAAGCAGCCUCCUGGGGUGAAUCUGACAUUGAGGGACGAAAGCGUGGGUAGCAAACCGGAUUAGAUACCCGGGUAGUCCAUGCCGUAAACGAUGAAUACUGGGUCUUCGGGGAAUCGACCCCCUGUGGACCGAAGCUAACGCGUUAAGUAUUCCGCCUGGGGAGUACGGUCGCAAGACUAAAACUCAAAGGAAUUGACGGGGGCCCGCACAAGCAGCGGAGCGUGUGGUUUAAUUCGAUGGUAAACGAAGAACCUUACCUAGGUUUGACAUAUAAGUAGUACUGACCCGAAAGGUGAUGGACCCGCAAGGGAGCUUAUACAGGUGCUGCAUGGUUGUCGUCAGCUCGUGCCGUGAGGUGUUGGGUUAAGUCCCGCAACGAGCGCAACCCUCGUGGAUAGUUGUUUUCUUUAUCCAGACUGCUUUUACAAGAGGAAGGUGGGGAUGACGUCAAAUCAUCAUGGCUCUUACACCUAGGGCUACACACACGCUACAAUGGACAGUACAGACGGUUGCUAAGUCGCAAGAUGGAGCCAAUCCGAUAAAGCUGUCCCCAAUUGGGAUUGUAGGCUGAAACUCGCCUGCAUGAACCUGGAGUUGCUAGUAACCGCAGAUCAGAAUGCUGCGGUGAAUACGUUCCCGGGCCUUGUACACACCGCCCGUCACGUCAUGGAAGUUUGAAACACUUGAAGUCGCUGGGCUUACCUUUUAGGAGGCAGGCGCCGAGAGUGGGGCAAAUGACUGGGACGAAGUCGUAACAAGGUAGCUGUACCGGAAGGUGCG
rnacentral:rRNA from 1 species